CCUACGGGAGGCAGCAGUAGGGAAUAUUGCUCAAUGGGGGAAACCCUGAAGCAGCAACGCCGCGUGGAGGAUGAAGGUUUUCGGAUUGUAAACUCCUUUUGUUAGGGAAGAUAAUGACGGUUUCUACUGAAUAAGCACUGGCUACCUCCGUGCAAGCAGACGCGGUAUUACGGCGUGCACACGCUUUACUCGGCAUCACUGGGCGUAAAGAGCGCGGAGGCGGGAUAGCAAGUCACGUGUGAAAUCCUAUGGCUUAACCAUAGAACUGCAUUUGAAACUGGUAUUCUAGAGUAUGGGAGAGGUAGGUGGAAUUCUUGGUGUAGGAGUAAAAUCCGUAGAGAUCAAGAGGAAUACUCAUUGCGAAGGCGACCUGCUAGAACAUAACUGACGCUGAGGCACGAAAGCGUGGGGAUCGAACAGGAUUAGAUACCCCUGUAGUC
rnacentral:rRNA from 1 species